GACGAACGCUGGCGGCGUGCUUAACACAUGCAAGUCGAACGAAGGGGCGAACGGGUGAGUAACGCGUAAUAAACCUGCCCUUCAGAGGGGGACAACAGUUGGAAAAGAAUGCUAAUACCGCAUACUGAAGGAGGGGAUUGCGUCUGAUUAGCUAGUGGGAGGGGUAACGGCCCACCAAGGCGAGGGUCAGUAGCCGGUCUGAGAGUAUGAACGGCCACAUUGGGACUGGUACACGGCCCAGACUCCUACGGGAGGCAGCAGUGGGGAAUCUUCCGCAAUGGACGAAAGUCUGACGGAGCAACGCAGCGUGAGUGAUGACGGCCUUCGGGUUGUAAAGCUCUGUUAAUCGGGACGCGGUACCGGAAUAGAAAGCCACGGCUAACUACGUGCCAGCCGCCGCGGUAAUUC
rnacentral:rRNA from 1 species